CAGGGAUUGUGGAAUACCCUCAGGAGGAGAUUUUCCAUGUCUACUCUGGUGCCAUUACUGGAAGAUCCUUCCAUUUUCUACAAGGGAUUUUUACCUAUAUUGUUGAGGAAGUGGAAUCCCCUUUGGUAGCUCUGUACCUUCAGCUUCUCCCUCUGUGGUAUCCAUUCCCUGCCACAACUAUAGAAUCUGCAAUCUGGAUAUCUGAGAGUGACCAAAAGAAGAGAAUAAAUGUCCAGCCUCCUUGUCACAAGGCAGGACAACAUUAUGUUGUUCCUUAGGCUCCAGAGCUC
rnacentral:lncRNA from 1 species